AUGGGGGGCCGUCCAGCGGGAAGAAGACGGUGACGAGGCCACUUGUUGCCUCGGCGGAUCAGCCCGCUCCCGGUAAAACGGGACGGCCCGCCAGAGGACCCCUAAACUCUGUUUCUAUAUGUAACUUCUGAGUAAAACCAUAAAUAAAUCAAAACUUUCAACAACGGAUCUCUUGGUUCUGGCAUCGAUGAAGAACGCAGCAAAAUGCGAUAAGUAAUGUGAAUUGCAGAAUUCAGUGAAUCAUCGAAUCUUUGAACGCACAUUGCGCCUGCCAGUAUUCUGGCGGGCAUGCCUGUUCGAGCGUCAUUUCAACCCUCAAGCACAGCUUGGUGUUGGGACUCGCGUUAAUUCGCGUUCCCCAAAUUGAUUGGCGGUCACGUCGAGCUUCCAUAGCGUAGUAGUAAAACCCUCGUUACUGGUAAUCGUCGCGGCCACGCCGUUAAACCCCAACUUCUGAAUGUUGACCUCGGAUCAGGUAGGAAUACCCGCUGAACUUAAGCAUAUCAAUAGUCCGGAGGAACCCCCCCGUAGGUGAACCUGAUGUGCCACCCGGAGAACAGAGAAGGGGCUCCCCGCGAAAAAACGCUCCGGAAAAACGGGACGGCCCCAGAGGACCCUAACUCUGUUUUCUAUAUGUAACGGCUGACUAAAACCAUUAAAUAUAUCAAAACUUUUCAGAGCGGAUCUCUUGGUUCUGGCAUCAAUAAAAAACGCAGCAAAAUAGUGAUUAGUAAUGUGAAAUGUAAAAAUCACUGAAUCAUCGAAUCUUUUGAACGCACAUUGCCCCGUCGGUAUUUUGGCGGGCAUGCUGGUUUGGAGGGCCUUUUAACCUCAGACGCUGUGUGUGUGGGGACACCGGAGUAUCUGCCUCUCCCACACUUAGGUGGGCGACACACCGAGCAUCAGACGCAAAUAUAAAAACACGGUCUUUUGUGGGUUGCGGCACCCCCCUCUUCAAACGACUCGUAGUUGUAGUCUGACAAGACUAAGUGUAUUGCACGAGU
rnacentral:rRNA from 1 species